GGCCACAGGUGAUGUUGUGCCAUAUAACUGAGACCGUAUCAAAAGCCUAAUAACAAGACGUAUGUCUGGAGCCCCGAUAUGCACAGGAUGGUGAGUCUUAUCGUUCAACUUUUCCACAAGUGUAAUUGUGACAUAUACCUCUGCCCAGCUCCUGAAUUAAUUAUUCUGCCUAGGUAUCGCCCACAAAUGAGAAUUUGACAAAUAACAGAGCCAAGCACCUUGAUGAUUUGACCGCGUUAUCUUAACAAUGUCCUCUGGAGGGAUUGUAACAUAUUUCUGGACCCAUUUUCUAGGUUACAUGACUCUCCCCUCCUGCCUGUGCCCUGAUUCCUUGGUAACUACAGCAUUUCUGAGCACUGCAUCCAAAUGAUAUGACUGUCUUGCCUGGGCCCUGUCAACAGGAGGCAUUGUGACAUAUUUUGGGGCCCAUCAUUUAGGGGAUAAGACUCUCCUCUCCUGCUUGGACACUGCCCACAAGGGACAUUGUGCCACAGCGCUGGACCUAGCACACAAGUUAUGUGACGUUUCUGACAGGUCUGCCUAAAAAGAGGAUUUUGGAAUAUUUCUGGCCCAGCAUUUAGGUGAUGUGGCUGUCCUGCCUGCUUCAUAACCACAGAGGGGAUUGUAACAUAUGCCUAGGCACAGCUCACAGGCAUGAUAAUGACUCUUAUAUAUGGAUUCAGCCAAUAGAGGAUAUUUUGACUUUUAUAACCAGAUUUACAUACAUGCAUGAUGUCUUGGAUCACAUUCCUGUACAAAGGUCACAAAAGAUUACAACACUCACACAUAUUUUACAAAGUCUUUCGGUAAUACAGACAGAGCCAAAGCAGGGCUCAGCACACACGUGAAAUUGUUAGUCAUGUAUCCAGACCCAGCUGACAGUAAGGAUUGUCAUCAUUUCACAUGGAUGAAGCCAACUGUGACACAUGAAAACAGAACAAGUGUGGUAUUGUGAAUCUCAUCUUUGGAAUUUUCUGACAGUACGAUUGUGAUACAAAUUUUUUCCAAGCAACUGUGUAAUUUGACCCUACAGAGUUUUUCCAGCACAUAUAUGGGAUUGUGAUGUCUACCUAGGCCAAUCUCAAGGUGAUGUGACUCUCCUGCCUGGGCCCUUCUCUCAGUGAUAUAACCCUCUUCUCUGGAAUGGGCCCCACACAAAGGAAGGAUAGUGACAUAUUGCAAGCCCAGGCACACAGGCCCAGAGCACAGUUGAAAUUGUGACAUAUGUACACCAAGCAACCAAGCAAUGUAUAACACCUCAUUUGGCAAUGGAAUCGAGGGCACUUUUACAUAUCACUGAGACCAGCGCCCAGCUGAUGUGAAAUAUUGGCCUGAACCCUGCCUACAAAAGCAUUGUGGCUUUUAUCUAGCUCCAUUACAUAAGUGAUGUGACUUCCUUCUACUGCCUUGGCCCUGCACUUAUGGUGAAUCGUGACACAAAAUUGGGUAGAGCAACCAGGUGAUGUGACCCUUUUUUUUUUGGCGGGGGGCCAGUCUGUCAAUAGGAAGCUUUAACAUAUCACUUGGCUCAGCACCUAGAUUGUGUUUCUUCUCUCUAGCCUGGGCCCUGACCAGCACAGAGAUUGAGGCAUAUUGCUGAACCCAGGACCAAGAUGAAGUCACUCUCCUGCCUUGAUCCUGCACACAGGGACCCUUGUGACAUAUAUACAGGCCAAUUGCCUAGGUAAAGUUUGUCUCCUCUCCUGCCUAAGCCCUGCCCAUGGGGAGGAUUUAGAUAUAUCACUGAAACCAGCAUCCAGGUGAUAUGACUCUUUUUCCAGAGUCUUGUGACAUUUCACUGGACCAGCACCCACUCAGGUGAUGUGACUUUCCUUUCUUCUCCCCACCCACAGGUGAUGUUGUGCAAUAUACCUGAGACCAGAUCAAUGGCC
ensembl:lncRNA LINC00293 long intergenic non-protein coding RNA 293